AAUGCAAGCCGUCUUAUCGCCCAACCUGUAUAAGGUUUGGGAGGAAAGUCCGGGCAACAUAGAGCAUCGUACUUCCUAACAGGAAGGGGCCGACAGCAACGUUAGCCACAGAUAGUGCCACAGAAAAUAAACUACCAGGCUCGACUUGUCGAGACGGGAAAAGGUGAAAAGGCGGGGUAAGAGCCCACCGCUCCAAGGGUGACUGCGGGGGCAUGGCAAACCUUACGAGUUGAAAGGCCAAAUAGGCUCCGAUUUGCGAACGGCUCGUUCCAUUCAGCUUCGAUUUAUCGGGGCAGAGUAUCGGGGCGGGUAGGUUGAUUGAUCCUGAUGGUGACGUCAGGACUAGAUAAAUGAUAAGAACCCUGACUUGUCAGGAGGACAGAACCCGGCUUACAGGCUUGCAUUACUU
rnacentral:RNase_P_RNA from 1 species